ensembl:lincRNA
UGGCUUUUUCAUUUGCUCCAAAUAUUGAGGUUUCAUGUAAAAGUUAUCUCUUUUAUAUGUUAUCUCCAUUUUAUGAAUGUUUGAAUCUUGUAGCCCAGGCUGGCCUCGAACUAGCAGUAAUCUUUUUUCCUCCGCCUCCCAAGUGCUGGGAUUACAGGUUUGCGACACCACACCUGUCCUUGGAAGUUUGAAUCUUAGAGGGAUUUUUUUUUUUUUGUAAUGAUCAUAGACGUCUGUUAGUUAUAGAUAUCCCUCCUUUAGGACCCCUUCCUCUGCUCUGAGACAGUUAUGAUUCUAGUUUACUCUCUGGUGAUUUUUCACCUGUGCCGUUGCAACGUUUUCUCCUUAUUCUUCACCUCCAACAUACUUUUCUUCUUUUAAGGCUAGAUCUUAACCUUCCCACUUUUUCUGCUUUUUCUUUGGGUGCACCAUACCCUUCAGGGCCUUGUAAGCUUUAGAUCUAAUUUUUUCAUCCUGUGGACUUUGCCUUAUUGUCUAAAUCCACCUCUCUCAAAGUAGAUUUACCUCUUUCAUUCUUUAUCUUCUUAUUUGUAGCCUGAUGGGACCACAUUCCUCACGUUACCGUGUACAUCUUUUUCUUCUGUACAUUCAGAUACGAGUCACCCGUUCAGUCACCACUUGGACUCUUCAUCCAGUCACCAGUUGGACUAUUCUGCGUGAGACAGAUUUACAAUGUCAAGUGGAGGCACUUGUUUUAAAACUCCAGAAGACAGUGACUGAACUGGACAAGUUUAAAGAAAUGCUCAAGCACACUACAUUUCUUAAAGAAAAAGAAGACUCUUUAAUGACUUGUCAACAGAUAUAUAAAACUUUACAAGUUUUCUAUGAAAGAAAGGCAAUAAGAAGAUUUAAGAAGAAUUCACCUUGCCGAAAAGGAACCGCAGAUAACCAAAACUCUUCUGAGUCAAAGGAAGAGGUUGUAACACUGAAAAUGAAAGGGAAUUGCUGCUGAUUUCACAUCAGAAAAGCACUGAGCAGCUGCAGGAAGCCCUGAGACAGAAGCUGCUAAGUGAUGCUAACUGGAGGGAGGAGGUAACAGUGUGUGAUUUUCAUCAGCAUGUGUCUUACUGGCUUUUUAAAAUUCUGCUAGAAGACUGUUCCAGAUAGAUUUCUUGGCUGCUGUAUACACUUUUGAUUCCCUCUGGAAUUUCCAACACAAAACAUGCUUAUUAUAUGUGUAUUUUCCAAAAUAUUAGACAACAUAAUGAGAAAUAGAAAACAAGAACAGAUUGUGAAAUCUUGUAAAAUUAAAAUGGUUCUUGGUUUUCAUGCAGAAGCAUAAUUUUUACUUUUAAAUGUUUACCUUUUUCUCAACAUGUCAGGAUAUGCAUUUGACCACAUUCUUUUAAAAGUUUUAUUUGUAUUAGUACAUGUUUGCAGUACGUGAUGAUUACAUUUAUUGUGGGGAGUAGGGCACAAGUACAUUUAACACAUCUCAAUUCUUUUUUCCUCCUCCCCUUCCCUAUUUAAGACAGAUAAUAUUAAUUCUUAUGAGUUCUGUGCUUCUCUCAUAAGGAGAUAAUGUAGGAGAAUGGAAAAUUACUUAAAAUUACUCUUACAAAAUUUUGACAUAUUUAUCCUGGCA